GAGGGAAUUCCCUAUGAAGGGUAUAUUGCCUCCCGGUUGGGCUCAGGAAACAGAGUUAAUGACACAUUUUUAAGGUGUUUUUUUUUUCUUUACACUAAACGUUUUAUUUCUUAUUUUCAACCCUUCAGAAAAGUCUGUUAAAUAAGCACAGCCUUGGCUGGUGUGCUAUUUUGGGAGAUUGAGAGGUAGGCAGGAGAGGGGGUCAGCCUUCCCUGAGUGAGCCCCUCCUUUGGGAGGCUGUUCUGCAUCUGAGGGGCUGGGGACUUGGACAGACGGCCAGAAGGCCGCAGGUGAGCGAUGAGGAGCAGGAGGUGACAAGAAGCGGCUGAGAGCAGGCCUGAGCCUGUGGAGAGCCACAGAAAGUCCCCAGCGAGGACUGCCCCCUGGGAGGACCUUCCCCACACGCCUGCCUUGCGAGGUGGAAAAGCAGAUCAAAAGAAAAUGUUACAGCAGGAUCCCUUUUGUGAGAAACAAACGGAUGCUUAGACAACUUUGUGUGUGUAGAAACAAGGUCAGAAGAAUACAUACAAAAUAUUGAGUGUGGCCCUUAUGAGAUAGAAGGACAGGAGGUGAGUCGGUAAUGUUUGUGUAAUCCAGGGAUUGCUCUUGCGGUGGGGUGUAAAUGGGCUAAGACUGCGUCUGCUACUUCUUUUCUUAUUCUUUUUCAUCUUUAUUUAAGUUCAAUUUGCCAACACAUAGUAUAACACCCAGUGCUCAUCCCAUCGAGUGCCCUCUGCUACUUCACUGAAUCGGUCUUCGCUUGGGCCCUGCGCACUUGGCACUGUUAUUAUCUCCCACUUUACUCUGGAUGAGGAACAGGAGGCGCGGUCACACGGUUAGUUAAGUGGGUAUCGCCCUUUCUGGAGGGGUCUUAAAAAUGUUACAAUGUUGUUUUUUAUAAAGAGAGAAAUGACCUUCACAUAUUUGAAAAUUCAUGUCAUAAGCUUCUUUUUCCCUUCCAGGUUCAAAAUGUCUCACCUGCUUCAAAUCUAAUGCAAACCCAAAGUUCUCAGCAGAAGCAUCUAAGGCAUAAAUCUAGUUCCUCUUCCGGCUCAAGAUUCAGACAUUAUCAGAGGAAUAAAGAUUCUCAGAUAAAUUGCAGCCAUCAACAAUAAAGGUAAUAAUUACAACAACCUAAAUUAAAAAACUACUUAUUGAGUGCCUAUUAUGGGCCAGGCAUUAAUUCUGUUUUAGGGAUACAGUGAAUAAAACAGGGAAUCUACCCCUGGGGAAUUUAUAU
rnacentral:lncRNA from 12 species